GAUGAACGCUGGCGGCGUGCCUAAUACAUGCAAGUCGAGCGAAUGGAUUGAGAGCUUGCUCUUAUGAAGUUAGCGGCGGACGGGUGAGUAACACGUGGGUAACCUGCCCAUAAGACUGGGAUAACUCCGGGAAACCGGGGCUAAUACCGGAUAACAUUUUGAACCGCAUGGUUCGAAAUUGAAAGGCGGCUUCGGCUGUCACUUAUGGAUGGACCCGCGUCGCAUUAGCUAGUUGGGGAGGUAACGGCUCACCAAGGCAACGAAGCGUAGCCCACCGUGCAGGCGGAGCGGCCACACUGGGACUGGGCCAAGGCCCAGACUCCUACUGGAGGCAGCAGUAGGGAAUCUUCCGCAAUGGACGAAAGUCUGACGGAGCAACGCCGCGGGAGUGAUGAAGGCUUUCGGGUCGUAAAACUCUGUUGUUAGUGAAGAACAAGUGCUAGUUGAAUAAGCUGGCACCUUGACGGUACCUAACCAGAAAGCCACGGCUAACUACGUGCCAGCCGCCGCAGUAA
rnacentral:rRNA from 1 species